rnacentral:misc_RNA from 1 species
AAGUCGUAACAAGGUCUCCGUUGGUGAACCAGCGGAGGGAUCAUUACAGAGUUGCAAAACUCCCAACCAUUGUGAACCUACCUCACCGUUGCUUCGGCGGGUGGCCCCGGGGCAACCCGGAGCCGCGCCGGCCCCGCUCUCGGGGCCCGGCAAACCCGUCAGAAGACCGAAACUCUUCGUCAUCAGUGGCCUCUCUGAGUAACUUAUACAAUAAGUCAAAACUUUCAACAACGGAUCUCUUGGUUCUG